rfam:Oryza barthii chromosome 1, whole genome shotgun sequence.
UUUAAGUACAGCCAUAAGUUCUUAUGCCCAACUUUAAUCGUCCAUCUUGUUUAAAUUUUUUUAAUUAGUAUUUUUAUUGUUAUGAGAUGAUAAAAUAUGAAUAGUAUUAUAUGCGUGACUUAUGUUUUUAAUUUUUUCAAAAAAAAAUUAAAUAACACGGACAAUCAAAGUUGGGCACGAAAACUCAUAGCUGUACUUAAA